rnacentral:rRNA from 1 species
AGUGAACGCUGGCGGUAGGCCUAACACAUGCAAGUCGAACGGCAGCACAGUAAGAGCUUGCUCUUACGGGUGGCGAGUGGCGGACGGGUGAGGAAUACAUCGGAAUCUACUUUUUCGUGGGGGAUAACGUAGGGAAACUUACGCUAAUACCGCAUACGACCUACGGGUGAAAGCAGGGGAUCUUCGGACCUUGCGCGAUUGAAUGAGCCGAUGUCGGAUUAGCUAGUUGGCGGGGUAAAGGCCCACCAAGGCGACGAUCCGUAGCUGGUCUGAGAGGAUGAUCAGCCACACUGGAAAUGAGACACGGGCCAGACUCCUACGGGAGGCAGCAGUGGGGAAUAUUGGACAAUGGGCGCAAGCCUGAUCCAGCCAUACCGCGUGGGUGAAGAAGGCCUUCGGGUUGUAAAGCCCUUUUGUUGGGAAAGAAAAGCAGCAGGUUAAUACCCCGCUGUUCUGACGGUACCCAAAGAAUAAGCACCGGCUAACUUCGU